rnacentral:tRNA from 1 species
GAGAGAUAAGCAUUAAUUUAGGUUAUGCAGCUAGUUUGAAACUAGUAGAAGGGGGUUCAAGUCCACCAUCUCUUG